rnacentral:rRNA from 1 species
CUGGCGGCGUGCUUAACACAUGCAAGUCGAACGAGAAUCCGGGGGCAACCCGGUAGUAAAGUGGCAAACGGGUGAGGAAUACAUGGGUAACCUACCCUUGAGAAGGGAAUAACCCGCCGAAAGGUGAGCUAAUACCCUAUACGCUAUCUUUUUUUCGAAAAGGAUAGGAAAGCCGGGUCGAGGACCUGGUACUCAAGGAGGGGCUCAUGUCCUAUCAGCUUGUUGGUGGGGUAACGGCCUACCAAGGCUACGACGGGUAGCUGGUCUGAGAGGAUGAUCAGCCACACUGGCACUGAGAUACGGGCCAGACUCCUACGGGGAGGCAGCAGUGAGGAAUAUUGCGCAAUGGGCGAAAGCCUGACGCAGCGACGCCGCGUGGGGGAUGAAGGUUUUCGGAUUGUAAACCCCUUUCAUGAGGAAAGAUAAAGUGGGUAACCACUUAGACGGUACCUCAAGAAGAAGCCACGGCUAACUUCGUG